UUCAGUUGAAGUCGCAUAUUUGAAAUUUAGAGAAAAAAACACACAAAGCUCUCCAUGACUGAAAUCUAUUUAUAACAAUUCGAAUUGCUGUACUGGAGAAGAACAUAGAUCUUAUUGUUCCCUAAAUUUAUUUGGAUAAACUCCAGGCUGAGAAAAUGGAGUCCCUGCUGUAUGACAUUUCCGCGCACAAAAUGCUCGAAAAAUUGAGGUUAACUAAAAAAGAUGAUUAAAUGGCGAAAAGGCCACGUGACUGACGAUGGUGGCAAAAUGGAGUCCAUGGAACGUUUGCGCUUGCUCCGUGGCAUUGCUUUGAUUUUGUCAAAAUCAAAUGCAUAUCAAGCGUACAUUCAUAAAUAUAUAUUUAUUGUGUGGGAAGUGGAUUGCUCGUCGAUAUUUUAAUAUAUUUAUGUAUUUUCU
rnacentral:sRNA from 1 species